UACAGAGGUCCCAAGCGUUGUUCGGAUUCACUGGGCGUAAAGGGUGCGUAGGUGGCAUGGUAAGUUUGAUGUGAAAUCUCCGGGCUUAACCCGGAAAUGGCAUUGAAUACUACUGUGCUGGAGGUUUGGAGGGGGGGACUGGAAUUCUCGGUGUAGCAGUGAAAUGCGUAGAUAUCGAGAGGAACACCAGUGGCGAAGGCGAGUCCCUGGACAACACCUGACACUGAGGCACGAAAGCUAGGGGAGCAAACAGG
rnacentral:rRNA from 1 species